CCUCGGCUGCCCCAGCCACCUCACCCCAGCUGCACAUCAUUUGUACACAGUGGAGAUUGUUGUCCAAAGUGGAACUGCAGUACAUGUAUUACUGAGGAUGGCGUACAUCACGAGCUGAACAGCGUGUGGCAUACCAGUCCCUGCGUCUCUCACAAGUGUACCAGAGCUGGCAUACUCUCCAUUACUCAGAAAUGCCUUGACCCGCCUCAUUCUAACUGUGAAAAGUUUUCUGAAGGAAAAUGUUGUCCAUCUUGGAGAUGUGGACCUGACUGCAGUAAAGUGCAGUGUGCAAGUCGACCCAGCAAGUGGUGUACACCGUACAGACCACCACUGGCAUGCUGUGACGAAUGGAAC